rnacentral:rRNA from 1 species
GGGUAUGGCGGCGUGCCUAUACAUGCAAGUCGAGCGAACAGACGAGGAGCUUGCUCCUUUGACGUUAGCGGCGGACGGGUGAGUAACACGUAGGUAACCUACCUAUAAGACUGGGAUAACUUCGGGAAACCGGAGCUAAUACCGGAUAAUAUUUCGAACCGCAUGGUUCGAUAGUGAAAGAUGGCUUUGCUAUCACUUAUAGAUGGACCUGCGCCGUAUUAGCUAGUUGGUAAGGUAACGGCUUACCAAGGCAACGAUACGUAGCCGACCUGAGAGGGUGAUCGGCCACACUGGAACUGAGACACGGUCCAGACUCCUACGGGAGGCAGCAGUAGGGAAUCUUCCGCAAUGGGCGAAAGCCUGACGGAGCAACGCCGCGUGAGUGAUGAAGGUCUUCGGAUCGUAAAACUCUGUUAUUAGGGAAGAACAAACGUGUAAGUAACUGUGCACGUCUUGACGGUACCUAAUCAGAAAGCCACGGCUAACUACGUGCCAGCAGCCGCGGUAAUACGUAGGUGGCAAGCGUUAUCCGGAAUUAUUGGGCGUAAAGCGCGCGUAGGCGGUUUUUUAAGUCUGAUGUGAAAGCCCACGGCUCAACCGUGGAGGGUCAUUGGAAACUGGAAAUCUUGAGUGCAGAAUAG